GAUGAACGCUGGCGGCGUGCCUAAUACAUGCAAGUCGAGCGAACGGACGAGAAGCUUUCUUUUCUGAUGUUAGCGGCGGACGGGUGAGUAACACGUGGAUAACCUACCUAUAAGACUGGGAUAACUUCGGGAAACCGGAGCUAAUACCGGAUAAUAUUUUGAACCGCAUGGUUCAAAAUUGAAAGACGGUCUUGCUGUCACUUAUAGAUGGAUCCGCGCUGCAUUAGCUAGUUGGUAAGGUAACGGCUUACCAAGGCAACGAUGCAUAGCCGACCUGGGAGGGUGAUCGGCCACACUGGAACUGAGACACGGUCCAGACUCCUACGGGAGGCAGCAGUAGGGAAUCUUCCGCAAUGGGCGAAAGCCUGACGGAGCAACGCCGCGUGAGUGAUGAAGGUCUUCGGAUCGUACAACUCUGUUAUUAGGGAAGAACAUAUGUGUAAGUAACUGUGCACAUCUUGACGGUACCUAAUCAGAAAGCCACGGCUAACUACGUG
rnacentral:rRNA from 1 species